UGAUCUGAGCAUUGCACGAUGUAUGGAACUU
rnacentral:piRNA from 1 species